AAUAGAUACCCCGGUAGUCCUGGCCUUAAACGAUGAUCACUAGGUGUAGGAGGCUUCGACCCCUUCUGCGCCGCCGCUAACGCAUUAAGUGAUCCGCCUGGGGAGUACGGCCGCAAGGUUAAAACUCAAAGGAAUUGACGGGGGCCCGCACAAGCAGUGGAGCAUGUGGUUUAAUUCGAUGCUACGCGAAAAACCUUACCAGGGUUUGACAUCCCGGUGAAACCCCAUAGAAAUAUGGGGCCCCUUCGGGCACCGGUGACAGGUGGUGCAUGGUUGUCGUCAGCCCGUGCCGUGAGGUGUUGGAUUAAGUUCCGCAACGAGCGCAACCCUCGUUGCUAGUUGCCAUCAUUAAGUUGGGCACUCUAGCGAGACUGCCAGCGUCAAGCUGGAGGAAGGUGGGGAUGACGUCAAAUCAUCAUGCCCCUUACAUCCUGGGCUACACACGUGCUACAAUGGCCGGUACAACAGGUUGCUACCUCGCGAGAGGAUGCGAAUCCCCAAAGCCGGUCUCAGUUCGGAUUGCAGGCUGCAACUCG
rnacentral:rRNA from 1 species